GCUGGGUGUGGUGGUGCACGCCUGUAGUCCCAGUUACUCAGGAGGCUGAGGCAGGAGGCUUGCUUGGGUCCAGGAAAUUUGAGGUUACGGUAAGCUAUGAUCAUGGCACUGCACUCUAGCCUGGGUGAGAAUGUGAGACCCUCCCUCUU
ensembl:misc_RNA Metazoa_SRP Metazoan signal recognition particle RNA